GCCCUCUGGUGCCUUGGAGGAUAUAGGACUGUUAUUUAUAUUUACCCGUACAGUAUUUCACUUUGUUGCUGAACAAUGAGAACAUAUUAAUCACAUAAAAUGAAACAAUCACAGUGAUCACCUGGAGGUGUGCCCUGCUACCAGGAUUCAGUCCAGCCCUAGUCCAAAAAUGACGACAGCUCUCCAAGAAAAGGUUGAUGAUAAAUAACUGGUUUCCGUGAUUACAGAAACUGCCCGUGAAGCCCAUACUACUAUACACUCUUCUUUUGAUCGAAUAGAAGGAAGGCAUGCAUUUGUGGUUCUGAAUAGUAAAUACUUGCACAGAGAUGUGGUAAAGGUGGAUAUUGUCAUUCUGUUUUGACAGAGAAUGAACAGCGCAAGUUUUUGCCAAAAAGAUCAAAUCAGUAGCAGCGCAAAUGUGAAUCAGCAUCACACAAUUCACCAUGUGUUUUUGAACCCUC